rnacentral:rRNA from 1 species
UAACACGUAGUUAACCUACUCUUAGGUGGAGGAUAAUCCCGCGAAAGUGGGGCUAAUACUCCAUAGAUUUUGAAGGCUGGAAUGCAUCAAAAUCCAAAGCUCCGGCGCCUAAGAAUGGGACUGCGGCCUAUCAGGCUGUAGUGAGCGUAAAAUACUCACUAACCUUUAACGGGUAGGGGCCAUGAGAGUGGAAGCCCCGAGAUGCCUUCUGAGACAUGAAGGCAGGUCCUACGGGACGCGGCAGGCGCGAAAACUUUCCAAUCCAUUAGCGUGGGAGAAGGGAACCUUGAGUGGUUGCAUACUAUGUAACCUUUUGUUUAGUCCAAACAGCUAGGCGAAUAAGUGGUGGGUAAUACAGGUGCCAGCCGCCGCGGUAAUACCUGAGCCACAAAUGGUGAUCACGUUUAUUGGGUCUAAAGCGUCCGUAGCCGGUCUAACAAGUUCCUGGUGAAAUCUGGCAGCAAACUGUCAGGCAUGCUGGGAAUACUACUAGACUUGGAAUCGGGAGAGGUCGGGGGUAUCCACGUGUAGGGGUUAAUCCUUUAAUCCG